rnacentral:rRNA from 1 species
CCUACGGGAGGCAGCAGUGAGGAAUAUUGGUCAAUGGGCGGGAGCCUGAACCAGCCAAGUCGCGUGAGGGAAGACGGUCCUAUGGAUUGUAAACCUCUUUAGUCGGGGAGCAAUGCCGGGCCCGUGUGCCCGGAGGGAGUGUACCCGCAGAAUAAGCAUCGGCUAACUCCGUGCCAGCAGCCGCGGUAAUACGGAGGAUGCGAGCGUUAUCGGGAUUUAUUGGGUUUAAAGGGUGCGCAGGCGGCGUGCCAAGUCAGCGGUAAAAUUUCGGGGCUCAACCCCGGCCGGCCGUUGAAACUGGCGUGCUAGAGUGGGAGAGAAGUAUGCGGAAUUCGUGGUGUAGCGGUGAAAUGCAUAGAUAUCACGAAGAACCCCGAUUGCGAAGGCAGCAUACCGGCUCCAAACUGACGCUGAGGCACGAAAGCGUGGGUAUCGAACAGGAUUAGAUACCCGGGUAGUC